UAGCAUAUCAAUAAGCGGAGGAAAAGAAACUAACAAGGAUUCCCCUUAGUAACUGCGAAGUGAAGCGGGAAAAGCUCAAAUUUAAAAUCUGGCGGUCUUUGGCCGUCCGAGUUGUAGUCUGGAGAAGUGCUUUCCGCGCUGGACCGUGUAUAAGUCUCCUGGAACGGAGCGUCAUAGAGGGUGAGAAUCCCGUCUUUGACACGGACUACCAGUGCUCUGUGAUGCGCUCUCAAAGAGUCGAGUUGUUUGGGAAUGCAGCUCAAAAUGGGUGGUGAAUUCCAUCUAAAGCUAAAUAUUGGCGAGAGACCGAUAGCGAACAAGUACCGUGAGGGAAAGAUGAAAAGCACUUUGGAAAGAGAGUUAAACAGUACGUGAAAUUGCUGAAAGGGAAACGCUUGAAGUCAGUCGCGUCAGCCGGAAAUCAGCCUUGCUUCCGCUUGGUGUACUUUCUGGUUGACGGGCCAGCAUCGAUUUUGACCGUUGGAAAAAGGCAGAGGGAAUGUGGCACCUUCGGGUGUGUUAUAGCCCUCUGUUGCAUACAACGGUUGGGAUCGAGGAACUCAGCACGCCUUCAUGGUCGGGGUUCGCCCACGUUCGUGCUUAGGAUGCUGGCGUAAUGGCUUUAAACGACCC
rnacentral:rRNA from 1 species